UUCUGCUCCACUUUCGGCCUCCCACCCCCGGAAACCUGCCCGACAUCUCGAUCCCUCUCUCCUCUCCCUGCCGUCGCUGUCGUCGUCACCUCCACACCUCAAUCCCUCACUGCGCAGCCGUCACAUAGCCAUCCCUCCAGGCCGCGCGAGAUCUCGUGGUCCGGCGGAGCCGCUUGAGAUCCCGUGGUUCGCAAUCGGUCAGACCUCAUCUCCCCUACGGUGUACGAUCAAGGAACUUGUUCUUCCUUCUCCUUACCUCAAGCUCCCUUGGUGCGGGAUGGAGGGCAGGUCCUCCGCGUGGAUCUCGGUGCCGGCUGUCAGGCUUGUUGUUGGGUCAGUUGGUUAAAAGAGAAUAAACCAUUUCAACUUCAUACCGUCCUUUGAAAUUAUUACGAGCCUUGGAGAAAGCUAAAAUAAAAAAUGUAAUUGCAAAUUAGAGAUGAGGAUGCCAUUCUUGAUGUUUCUGGAAGCAAUAGUUUUACUGACAUAUGUUUGAUGUUUGCAAACAGAAAUUGCUUAAAUGAGUUGUCCUAAAGGGCACAUGGAGGCUGAGUUAUCACCGGUAGCAUAUAUACUACUUGCCAAGAUAUUCAUUACCUUCCCACGGGGUAAAGUGAUACGUUAUAGAUUUAGAGCUAUAUAGAAUUUGUAGCUUUUGACAGAUCUGUGUAAUGUUAGUUCUUCCAUUGUUCAAAUAGGCAGAUUUCGGCUCAGUGGUUUGUGUACAUGGUAUUUAAGCGUCAUAUGUUGAGAAUAAAUUAUUAGCUCAGAUAUCUAGCUUCACUGUUAAAUGAAUUACAUGUGAGCUUACCUAACCAAAUAUAUUAUUGUCUACUUCCUGUUCUUACUGUCUGGUCAUUUAAAUUCUAUUGUGUUAGAACAAAUCAACAUAAAUUGUCUGCAUUCUCUUUAAAUAUGUGCAACCAUUUGAAACAGAUAAACAUGCUUUAAUCUUUUAGUUUUUUCAGUGUUUGGAUCUCCAGUUGAAUACGCGAUUCGGAUGCCAAGUUGUAGGUAUUUUCUUUAUGAUAUGGCUUGGACCUUUCUUCUGCCCAUGGUGGUGAACUGGUAAGCCAGAUUUCUUUGUAUCCUUAUCAUGCGUGUGUGCUUAAUACGAGAUCCACAAGCUUAUGAAUUAUCUUGUGAUAACCAAAUCCCCUGGGUAUUUUAGAUUGAAUGCCUUUUGUGCUUUGAGAAAUAGCUUGACCUCACAGUAAACUAUUUGGAAUUUUCAAAAUGCAGUGACUAUUGGUGAACAAAUAACUGAGGUGCAUAAUCCUCUUAGAGCAGCUGAGCCCUUGCUUCUAUAGUGGUUAAGCUCUUCUCUUUUGUUUUAAUGUUAGGAUUCAGGGACAAUUUGUGCAAUAAUUAUUGUUCCAAAAGUCAAUUUAUGUUCAUUGCUAGGAUUUUGUCAACAUCUAUUUUGCAUAGUGUCUGUGUGCCUGAUCAGGGACAUUAAACUUGGUCAGUUUAAUACAAAAUUAAUGUCUUCCUUUCUGUUAAAUCAUUUUGAGGCAUUUUUAGGUUGUCAACCAAUUCAAUAGCACUGGAUAUUUGUUAUAAUAAAAUUAAAUUAUUAGUACUUCUAUUGGAGCUUUAGCCUAUGAUUCCCUUGAAUGUAGAGUUCUAGCAUGUUACAGGAUUACAACUCAAUUUCUAACUACUGAAGAUUAUUUUUUCCUGUAGGAGCAACAGAAAAGAAUUAGGAAAUUCAUCCACAUACAUCUGAUAUCCUUUUUGUAGACUAUUUAUAAGUUUUCCUCUCUCAAAUACAUAGUCCUGUGGAUGUACAUCCUGACAUUGCUGCCAUGAUAGGUUUUGGUGGGUUAAAACAUAGGCAAGGUUCAUUUAUAUAAUUGGAGCUUGCACUUUUACACUCAGUUAUAUAUAUAUCCUUCACUUUAGUUACAAUAAAAUAUUGGCUUUCUAGCAUAAUCUGAUGGAGGUGGCUAUCGGCUUUACCUUUGGUCUUCCAUUAUCUUUUUAGCAAGAAUACUUUUGCGGCUAAAGCGAAGGAUCACCUUAUGUUUGGAUCAGCAUUUCUAAGCUACCGGCUAUAGUGUUCGGUUGUUAUGAAUUCUAAGGUGUUUCUAAGGUGUAAUAGUUGGGUAUGUAAUGUAUGACAUAAUAGCUAUUCUAGCAUGCAUGUAAUGAAGGAUCUUGUAAUUUAUGGCUAAACAGAACCAUAACAACUGUGAUGGCCAUACAACUUGUUUUUAUAUUCAAAUGCUUCAUGAUUUGUACUAAGUAUUUAAUGAUAUGAUAUAUGAUGUGAUGCUAUGGUAA